rnacentral:rRNA from 1 species
AUGGGAGCAACAUAUCCUCUCGUUUUCUUGAUCCUCUUACUUCUUCAUGGAACCAAGGCUGCUUCGGAUCCUCCAGUACCGGGAUGGCUGACUCUGAGUGGUCGUCGUCCUCUAGUCAUUGCUCGUGGGGGUUUGUCUGGGGUAGUGCCUGAGUCAAGCCAGCUUGCAUACAGCAUGGCAAUGGGAAGUAGCUUGUGUGAGGUGGUUCUGUUCUGCGACCUGCAAUUCUCUAGCGACGGUGUGGGCUUCUGCCAUGGCAGCUUGAGACUUGACAAUUCGUCAAAUAUUGCUGAGAAGUUCGCUGACAGGGGCUCGACUUAUCAAGUGAAUGGACGAGAUGUUCAAGGAUGGUUUUCUCUGGAUUUCAAAUCAGAGGAGCUACAUAGUGUCCUAUUGGUUCAGAAUGUUUUGUCUCGCUCAAAUACAUUUGACAGAACACAGGAACUGUUGUCGCUUGACAAUGUGGUUCAAAGCGUCUUGGCUCAAAAAGGCGAGCUUCAUGUAAUUUGGGUCAACAUAGAGUACAACUCGUUUUUUCUGGAGCACGGAUUAAGUGGCGAAGAUUACAUAUUGGGACUACCAAAAGAAUUUCCUGUCACUCGCGUCUCCUCACCAGAAUUUGCAUUCUUAAAAAGUCUCAGUGGAAAGGUCAGAAGUGAUAUAAAGUUGAUUUUCCGGUUUCUCCGUGAAGACCUUGUUGAGCCUACGACAAAGAGAACAUAUGGAGAACUUCUGAAAGACCUGAAAUCUAUCAAGGCCUUUGCAUCGGGGAUUCUUGUUCCCAAGCAAUUUAUUUGGCCACAGAAUAAGGAUAUGUACUUGGAGCCGUCUACCAGUUUGGUCAAAGAUGCACAUGCCCUAGGGCUGGAAGUGUACGCAUCUGGAUUUGCCAAUGAUGAUCCCUGUAUGAGUUACAACUACAGCUAUGAUCCCAGCGCGGAAAUCUUGCAGUUCAUAGACAAUUCAGACUUCUCGGUCGACGGCGUUUUAACAGACAAUCCACCUACCGCAUCAGGAGCCAUAGUGUGCAUGGCACAUACCAAGGGCAAUGCAUUCGUUUUUCCUAUUGCUAAAGAUGGAGCUCCUCCAGGAGUAGAAGCAAACGUCAGGCCACUGAUCAUAACCCACAAUGGUGCGAGUGGCGUCUUCUCAGACAGCACGGACCUUGCCUACCAACAAGCGGUGAAAGAUGGCGCGGACAUAAUAGAUUGCUGGGUCCGGAUGUCGAAAGACGGGGUCGCCUUCUGCCUGGGCUCUACAGAUCUCAACAGCAGCACGACAGCAGCCACAACUUUCUUGGAAAAAAUGACAACUGUCAAUGAGAUACAGAACAAGUCGGGCAUUUUCUCGUUUGAUCUCUUAUGGAGCGAGAUCCAAACCUUAAAACCCAACCUUGUCGGUCCAUUCGCAGACGCACGCCUGGAGAGAAAUCCUGCGGCGAAGAACGCUGGCAAAUUUAUGACACUGGCUGAGUUCCUUGAUUUUGCAAAAGCCAGCAACAUCACUGGUAUACUGAUUGGCAUAGAGCAUGCUACGUACCUUAUAGCCAGAAGCCUUGACGUGGUGGAUGCGGUCUCCAAAGCGCUUGUCAAGUCCGGGUACGACAAGGAGACCUGUAAGCAGCGCGUGCUCAUACAGUCAGAGGACGCCCCGGUGCUUGCGGCGUUCAAGACGUUCCCCAAGUUCCAGCGGGUGCUGACGAUCGAGUUCGACAUAAGCGACGCCUCCAAGCCUUCGGUGGAUGAGAUAUUAGAGUUUGCAAACGCGGUGAAGCUCAGGCGCAGCUCUGCCGCGCGGGUCAACGGCUUCUUCCUGGAGGGGUUCACCAAUUCCUUGGUCGACAGGCUGCAUGCCGGCAAUUUGCACGUGUAUGUCGGCGUCCUCAAGAAUGAGUUCAUGAACCUCGCGUUCGACUACUGGGCCGACCCCUUGGUGGAGAUCGCCACGGACACGUUGUCGGUGGGCGCCGACGGGAUCGUGACCGAGUUCCCUGCCACUGCAGCUGCAUACUUCAGGAGCCCAUGCGCCAACUACGAAAGAAAGGACCUUCCCUACAUGAUCGACCCCGCCACACCCGGCGGCUUGCUCCAGCUGGCUGCCACUGGCUCGGUCCCUCCGGCGCCCCCUCCGGCGCCGGUGCUCGAGCCCCAGGACAUCCUGCAACAGCAGCUGCCGGUGUGCCCCAACGACCCCAUGUUCCGGACCUUCCGCUGCCGCCUGGGGCCCAAGGAGACGCCGACGGGGAAACCUGAGUACAACAUCAAUAUGGCUAGCCUAGAUGACUAG